UACUUGAGAGGCAGAGUUACAGAGAUGGAGAAACAGAGAGAAAGAGUGUGCUUCCUUCCAUCUGCUGGUUCACUCCCCAAAUGACUGCAACCACUGGGGCUGGGCCAGGCUGAAGCCAGGAGCCAGGAGCUUCCUUGGGGUCUCCCACAUGGAUACUGGGGCCCAAGCACUUGGGCCAUCUGCUGCUGCUUUCCCAGGCCUUUAGCAGGGAGCUGGAUCAAAAGUGGAGCAGGAGGGAAUCAAACUGGGGCCUAUAUGGGAUGCUGGUGCCACAGGCAGAGGCUUAGCCUAUCACCCAUGGUGCUGGCUUAAAGCAAAAAUCAAAUCAGUACCAUUUCACUUGGGUAGUUUUUGUUUUUUUUUUUUUAAACAUACCAACCCUACUUUGUAAGUCUUUAAGCCUUCAAAGUUCACCAGGAGAAGGUUAUGUGUCUCUAACGAAUAUAGCAGCAAGUUUCAUUUGUUUUUCAUAUCUUGGGCCCAAUGUAGCAGAGACAAAAAUCUCUAAUAAAAUAGAUGAAAAUUAAGUGAAGUCAAUACUCAAAAUAGUAUAUGGGAACUUUGAAAAGUUCAUAGAAAAUGGAAUUAAAGGACGUUAUUUUGGUGUAAAUAUUUUGAAAACCAUGCAUACCUUUUUCAUAAUAUGCAUUCCAUGAACUUUUUGAAGACUCACUCAUAUUCGACAGAUCAUUUUCCCUCCCAAAACAAGCUUUUGAAGUAUCAGUAUUGCGGGAAGGUGGAGGAGCUGAAAUGAAUCAUCCACCAUUAAGAAUAAGAUAGUAAAGUUGCUCUUGCUUGUGUUAGGGAAGCUCCUUUUUGGUGUGAGAAGAUGAUUCAGGAAAUCACCAUGUUGAAAAUUUUUUUAAAAGAUUAUUUAUUUGAAAGUUAAUGAGAGAGGGAGACAAAGGCAGAGAGGGAUCUUCCAUACACUGGUUGUCUGUUCACAAUAGCUGGGACUGGGCCAGUCUGAAGCCAAGAGCGGAAAACUCAACUUGAGUCUCCCAAGUAGGUGGCAGGGACCCAAGUACUUGGGUCACAAUCUGCAGUCUUCCCUACCACAUUAGCAAGAAGCUGGAUUGGAAGUGGAGCAGCUGGGACUUGAAUUGGCACUCUGAUAUGGGAUGCAGUGUUGUGAGGGGCAGCUUAAUCUGCUGUACCACAGUUGAAAAAUAAAUCUAGGGCACUUCCUUCCUGCUGUCCACCUAGCCCUGGUUGACCUUGACUGUGUGAAGAACAAUUAGGAUAAUGUGUAGUGGAACAGAUGAAAUCUCUGCACUGAAAUAACUUUUCCUCUAUUACCUUCAGACUUGAAGGACUUGGAGCAGCCCAGCCCUGAUAACCACUCUCAGAUAUUGUCCUAUAUAGAAGUAGAACAGAGAUGGAACUGAGCAGUCAACAAACUGGAGUUACUUUUUACUUCCACUCUUUGGACCUGAUUACAAUGUGGAAUCCGCCGUCCUAACAGCAGCAGCGAGGAAAAUUCUCCGGCUUUUUUAUUUCGGGGAGGGUCAUAGCCCCGCCUUCCGCAGGGCGCUUUGCUGCCCUGGGCUAGGAAGAGGAAGAUGCGCCAGGUCUUUCUUCCCACCGGCAGAUUAGGCGUGGUGGAGAGGAAGAUGCCGGGUUCCCUUCAACGUCGGCCUCUUACCUCUUGUUCUUCUUUAAAAAGCCAGGUGGCGCCAACUCUCAACCCCUGCUGGAACUGGAGGAUUUUCUUGAUUGCUCAGAGUGGAGCGCAGAGGUGCCGCCAAAGAGCAUGGCGCUUUCUCUCUGCACCCUCCGCCCUUUGGAAACAUCGAUUUGCUGCUUUCUUCUUGCGCACCCCUCGCGGGAUGACUGCAAACCUAAAGAAAAACGGAGUGUCCUGUAUGCCACAUGGAGCUCGAGGAAAGGAAAUGAUUAAAGCUGUGGAGCUUCCUGGCUCUUCGCGGCGUUUACGCUCUCUGCCAUGGCCUGGGAAAGCAGUGGAAGAUGGCCCAAGUGCUUGGACUCUGCAUCUGCAUGGGACACCCUGAAGAAGCUCCUGGCUCCUGGCUUUGGAUUGGCACAGCUCUGGCCAUUGCGACCAUUUGGGAGGUGAACCAGUGGAUGGAAGACCUUUCUCUCUGUAACUCUACCUCUCAAAUAAAUAAAUAAGAAUCUUUAAAAAAGAUUGUCUUUAAAAAAGAUGUGUCUUCAUUAUUUAACUGCUUUGGUAAAGGAUGAUAUGGUUUUUCAGUAUUUAUGACCAUAUACUCAGAAAUGAAAGAUAAUCUGAGAAAUCAAUAUGACAAAACAUCAACUUACCUAUGAGUAGAUCUCAGCCAUUUAGACUAUAAACUCUAGGAGAUGGGGCUAUGCCUCA